rnacentral:misc_RNA from 1 species
GAUGAAGAACGUAGCGAAAUGCGAUAAGUAAUGUGAAUUGCAGAAUUCAGUGAAUCAUCGAAUCUUUGAACGCACAUUGCGCCCCUUGGUAUUCCGAGGGGCAUGCCUAUUCGAGCGUCAUUAUCACCCCUCAAGCCUAGCUUGGUGUUGAGGCCUGCUGUCAAGGCAGCCUCUAAAAUCAGUGGCAGUGCUGUCAGGCUCUAAGCGUAGUAAAUCUAAUCGCUAUAGACACCCGGUGGACACUCGCCAGAACCCCCCCCUUUUUUAAUGAUUCACCUCGGAUUAGGUAGGGAUACCCGCUGAACUUAAGCAUAUCAAUAAGCGGAGGA